rnacentral:rRNA from 1 species
UGGGGAAUCUUGGACAAUGGGGGCAACCCUGAUCCAGCCAUGCCGCGUGAGUGAUGAAGGCCUUAGGGUCGUAAAGCUCUUUCGCCUGUGAAGAUAAUGACGGUAGCCGUAGAAGAAGCCCCGGCUAACUUCGUGCCAGCAGCCGCGGUAAUACGAAGGGGGCUAGCGUUGUUCGGAUUUACUGGGCGUAAAGCGCACGUAGGCGGAUCGUUAAGUGAGGGGUGAAAUCCCAGGGCUCAACCCUGGAACUGCCUUUCAUACUGGCGAUCUGGAGUUCGAGAGAGGUGAGUGGAAUUCCGAGUGUAGAGGUGAAAUUCGUAGAUAUUUGGAGGAACACCAGUGGCGAAGGCGCCUAACUGGUCCGGUACUGACGCUGAGGAACGAAAGCGUGGGGAGCAAACAGGAUUAGAUACCCUGGUAGUCCACGCCGUAAACGAUGAGUGCUAGAUGUUGGGAUUUUC